rnacentral:rRNA from 1 species
CUACGUGCCAGCAGCCGCGGUAAUACGUAGGGUGCGAGCGUUAAUCGGAAUUACUGGGCGUAAAGCGAGCGCAGACGGUUACUUAAGCAGGAUGUGAAAUCCCCGGGCUCAACCUGGGAACUGCGUUCUGAACUGGGUGACUAGAGUGUGUCAGAGGGAGGUAGAAUUCCACGUGUAGCAGUGAAAUGCGUAGAGAUGUGGAGGAAUACCGAUGGCGAAGGCAGCCUCCUGGGAUAACACUGACGUUCAUGCUCGAAAGCGUGGGUAGCAAACAGGAUUAGAUACCCUGGUAGUCCACGCCSUAAACGAUGUCGAUUUGGGGGUUGAACUUUAGGUUUGGCGCCCGUAGCUAACGUGAUAAAGCGACCGCCUGGGGAGUACGGCCGCAAGGUUAAAACUCAAAUGAAUUGACGGGGGCCCGCACAAGCGGUGGAGCAUGUGGUUUAAUUCGAUGCAACGCGAAGAACCUUACCUACUCUUGACAUCCAGA